GUGCCAGCAGCGGCGGUAAUACGGAGGAUCCGAGCGUUAUCCGGAAUUAUUGGGUUUAAAGGGUGCGUAGGCGGCCUGUUAAGUCAGAGGUGAAAGACGGUGGCCCAACCAUCGCAGUGCCCUUGAUACUGGCGGGCUUGAAUUCGGAUGAAGUGGGCGGAAUAAGACAAGUAGCGGUGAAAUGCAUAGAUAUGUCUUGGAACACCGAUUGCGAAGGCAGCUCACUAAGGCGAGAUUGACGCUGAUGCACGAAAGCGUGGGAUCGAACAGGAUUAGAUACCUGGUAGUCCACGCCCUAAACGAUGAUGGCUCGGUGUCGGCGAUAGACGGUCGGCGCCCAGCGAAAGCGUUAAGCCAUCC
rnacentral:rRNA from 1 species